GAGUGCUCUUACUGUCGGGGCUGUGACUCUACUGUGCCACCUACAUGCCCUCUCCUGUACCCUUUCUAGUGCCUGGUGCUACAGGAACAGAGGAUCCGUCUGUGUGUUGAGGCAGGAGGACUCACAAGCUACGGCAUCAGUGAUCUACAAAUCAGUGUGUUUGCUCUACAAAGCUUUUGGAACAUAUCUUUUGCAGUCAAUGACAGCCUGAAGACUGGAACCAUUACCAGAUGCUGGGUUUCUUCCCUGUUGAGAAUCUGCCAGGCCUUUACUACAGUGGUCUUUCGUUCCUGCUUGUUGUUGGGCUGUUUUGCCUUUAGGUUUUGCCUGAAAUCAACUCCACACCUUUUGUCUGCUGACUAGGUUGUGUGGAGCCUGAAGCAUAUCCCAGGGAACUCAGGGCACAAAGCGGGGAACACCCUGGAUGGGGUGCCAACACAUCACAUGGCACAAUCACACACAAACACACACUACGUAUAAUUUGGAAAUGCCAAUCAGCCUACAACGCAUGUGUUUGGACUGGAGGAGGAAUCUGAGUUAUCUGGAGGAAACCCCAAAGGGAGAACAUGUAGACUGCACAUACACAGGCGGUGCCCGCAUUAACCACACCUCUUGUUAAUGUAUUUUUUAAUGCAUCCAUUUUCUUGUAAUAAUCAUGAUGUUUUGCACCAUAUUACCACCGGCAUCACUAUCUAUCCAUCCAUCCAUCCAUCGUCUACCCCUUACUCCUUUUCAGGGUCAUGGGGAACCUGGAGCCUAUCCCAGGGAGCAUCGGGCACAAGGCGGGGUACACCCUGGACAAGGUGCCAGUCCAUCGCAGGGCACAAUCACAUACACACUCAUACACCCAUUCAUACACUACGGAUACUUUAGACAUGCCAAUCAGCCUACCAUGCAUGUCUUUGGACUGGGGGAGGAAACCGGAGUACCCUGAGGAAACCCCCGUAGCACGGGGAGAACAUGCAAACUCCGCACACACAUGGCCCCGGUGGGACUCCCUGCAUCACUAGUCACACAAAUACAAGGAAUAUACAAUGGGUAGUUUUAUGCCUUAUUUUGCCAUGUGCACUGUUAUCAUGAAAAUGAGACCCCAAUAAUACAGAGAGACUAAAACACACAUUACCAUUUAUUAAAAAAAAAAUCUGUUUCCAUCACCCUUUAUUUUAUAUUCUUAUCCCAACACACCAACAGUCCCACAUUUUGACAGACACCCUCUCCCCUGAAAAAAAAUCUCUUAUCCAGAGUGCCACUGCAGCCAUGCUUUCUCAUUUAUUAUUUCUAUGUUAUGAAAAAUAUAGUUACUAUCCAUUUUUGCAGAGAAACAAAGUUGAUAAAUCUGUUAUCAUGAGGAUCAUGAAAUAAUCCCAUAUGUCGAAAGUCAGACGUGCUAUGUUGUUAAUGAAAAUGAAUAAGAUGUUCUGACUAAUAUUUUACAGCUGUGUUAUGUGAUAUUUACUCCUAUCUUGAAUACAUUACUCAUUACUCAUACAAUAAUUGGUUUUGUUGACUAACAUUUAAACAAAAGGUUUUGGUGAAGAGAGAACAGCACAAAGCAUGUCAAACAAUUUCAAAAGCACUGAGGAUGAAUCAGAGAGAAAUGUGAGUGAUGAAAAUCAACGAAGGAUGACAGCAAUAUGGUGUGUUCCACUGUUACUUCCUUUACAACGAAUCUUCGUAUCUUCUCCAUAAUUAUCUCUGUACUCGGGUCUAUUUAAUUCACUUCCAAGCACAUCAUGGUAAACCCACGGUUAUGUAUGCGUUCUGUUUCUCUGUCUGUCUCUGUAUGCCUGAGGCCAUACAAACAGCCUGAGACAGUCUCACAGGAGCCUCAUGUCAACCUACAGCCACCAUGAGGAGAGCUACAGAGCAAUGCAACCUUCCUCUCAUCUCAGUCCCCUACUGAUUUGGAGCUGAAGAGCAUAGAGACUGACGCUGCCGACUUCACGCGCCACAGCCAUAUAGCAUCUGUUUCAUAUCUGCAAUAAUGAAGGCAUUCUUGUGGCUGAUAGAUAUGUUCCCAAUGGGGAAAUAAAAAACGGAUUUACUUUAGUUCAGUGAUACUUGUACAGGCUGAGAGACACCAAAAAGAGCCAGACAACAGAGAAUAGCUCAAGUAGUGAUUUCACAGCCUCAGCCAGAGUUGAGAGAAACCCCACUCUCGAAGAAAUAUGUAGCCAAAACUGUGAAUGUUUCCAAAGCAAGGCCUGAUCAUUGUCCAAUGAUACAAAGUUAUGACACUGAAACCUCUUGUAAGUCUGCUUAUGGUGCAAGUGGAUGGUUUUUAUUUCUGUUAUUUCAGUGAAAUAUUUCCUCUGACUGUCCUGUUCUGUAAUGCUCUGUCCCCUUGCAGUGUCUUACACUAACCAAGAGCCUCCAUCAAAGCAGAAUGAACCCUCCAACAAAGCAGAAUGAACCCUUCAUCAGAACACAAUGAACCCCCAAUAGUAAGUCAGUUAGAUGUCCAAGUUAGAAUUAUGUAUCAUUUAUGUACAUAAUAUACCAAACUGACUGUCAGCUGUGAGAUAUCAUUGAAAAUAUUGGUGGAAGAAUGUGUUCUCUGAUUGGCUGUUCAAGUCUGAGUGACCCGCAGAAAAAGUAACACGUGAGUUGAGAUUUUCGGAACUUUAUGCAAAUUAGAUACAACGCUGUAAAGCAUAUGCGUAAGCGUAUGCCUGCAAUAAAUACCUAUAUACUUCCGAUUGACUUCAAGAUAUUAUUACUAGUCUAUAAAUCACUUAAUUGUGCAGGAUAUUUACAGUAUCUGAUAUGCUGCAGCAAUACGAACCAAGCAGAACUCUCAGAUCAUUAGAAAGUAGUCAGUUAGUCCUGUGUAAGGUCACGACUAAGCAAGGAGAGGCAGUGGUUAGCUACUAUGUGCUCUUAAAUGGAACUAACUGACAGAGAACAAUCGAAAAGCCCAGACACAAGACACUUUAAAAUCCAGACUCAAAACGUUCAUAUCUGAACAGGUUUUCAGCUCACAUUAAAACACUGUACUUUUAGCUCUACAGCACUACUGCGCUUCUGUCCUGUAACACCACAUUAUCAUUCUAAUCAUUCUAAUUUUAUAAUUCAUUUUUAAUUUCUCGUCAUUAAGUCGAUUGCUUUCAUCCCCUUUUAAUCAAGUUCUUCAUUUCUAUUCUUAUUUUCUAAUUUAUUUUCUUUUGCACUUUAAUCCUUUAUCCUUUAAUGCCCUUUGCCUUCAUUUCCAUUGUA